rnacentral:ncRNA from 1 species
UCUCAUUUAGAGUGGUUGAGGGAACUGGCCCUAGGAAACCACGGCAACCGAUUGGACGAUGCCUCAAUUGUUCGAUGUCAAGGUGCCAAUUCCAGCUUAAACCUGUUAAGGUUUGGGAAAGAUGAGA